rnacentral:rRNA from 1 species
AUGGAGCUCAGGAAGGCUAUCUGCAACAAGCUUCAGGAGGAUAAUGGUCUAACCUAUAGCCCAGAUCAUGUGCUAGCAACCAAUGGGGCUAAGCAAUGCACUACACACGCUGUUCUUGAUGUUCUCUCAUGUGGUGAUGAGCGCCAUGGAUCAGUCCCUGCUAUAGGAGAGAGAGAAGAUGAGAGGAUGAGAGAGAAGGAAGGAGAGGAGGGAGAAAGAGAGAGGAAAGAGUACCUGGAGGUGCGUCGACCGGCGUCGGCAUGUGCUGGCAAGGUUGGGCGGGACCGGGUGGUUGGCUGCGGCUCCGUGGUUUCAGAUGGGGCACCGUGGGGAGCCAGGGAGGCAGCUUGGCCCAGCCAUGGCGUUGGUGCUGCGGAGAGCCGCCUCGCGCUACUUCAUCGUCGACACUACAGGCUUCGCCGCCGCCUACGCGAUGCCGCCCCAGGGGGAUCAGCAGCAGCCCCCCUCGCUGCAGGGGCCCAGCCAGCAGGUCGGGGCCAAGCUGGGGCCCUGCAUCGAGUGCAGCGCCACCGGCACAAGAAGUGCUCUGGGUGCAAGUGCAUGCAUAUUGGUGCGCCCCCACCCCCCGCCCUCGUCCCCCUCCCUAUUUCUUGGUAUGACAUGGUUGUGGGCGUCCUGAUCUUGCAUUGCCGCUGA